CUGCGUACCUUUUGUAUAAUGGGUCAGCGACUUACGUUCAGUUGCGAGCUUAACCGAAUAGGGGAGGCGCAGCGAAAGCGAGUCUGAACAGGGCGUUCAGUAGCUGGGCGUAGACCCGAAACCGGAUGAUCUAUCCAUGGCCAGGUUGAAGGUGCGGUAACACGCACUGGAGGACCGAACCCACUAGUGUUGCAAAACUAGGGGAUGAGCUGUGGAUAGGGGUGAAAGGCUAAACAAAUCCGGAGAUAGCUGGUUCUCCUCGAAAGCUAUUUAGGUAGCGCCUCGUGUAUCACUCUCGGGGGUAGAGCACUGUAAUGGUUGGGGGGUCGUCUAGACCUACCCCGCCAUAGCAAACUCCGAAUACCGAGAAGUGCGAGCACGGGAGACAGACGGUGGGUGCUAACGUCCAUCGUCAAGAGGGAAACAACCCAGACCCACAGCUAAGGUCCCCAAUGAUGUGCUAAGUG
rnacentral:rRNA from 1 species